AUUGAACGCUGGCGGCAGGCCUAACACAUGCAAGUCGAGCGGAUGCUUGGAGCUUGGUGCUGGAUUCGGGGGCGGCCGGGUGAGUAAUGCCUAUAGAUCUGCCUGGUCGUGGGGGAUGACGUGCGGAAACGGGCGCUAGUACUGCGUACGACGUGUGGGCGCAAGUGGGGGGGCUUCGGACGUCUCGCUAUGAUGUGAGCCUAGGUCGCAUUGGCUGGUUGGGGGGGUAACGGCCUACCAAGGCGACGUUCCGUAACUGGUCUGAAAGGAUGACCAGUAACACUGGAACUGAGACACGGUCCGCAAUCCUACGAGAGGCAGCAGUCGGAAAUAUUGACGGAAGGGAGAAAGCCUGAUCCAGCGAUGACGGGUGUGUGACGAAGGUAUCAGGACUGUGAAACACAUUAAGUUGGGAGGAAGGGAAGUAAGUUAAUCCCUUGCUGUUAUGACGUUACCCACAGAAUAAGCCCCGGCUAACUUCGUG
rnacentral:rRNA from 1 species